GUGCUCGCCUCGGCAGCACAUACACUAAAAUUGAAAUGAUGCAGAGAUUAUCAGGCUGCCUCUCAAAGAUGACAUGCAAAUUCGUUAAGCAUUCCAUAUUUAA